UUUCCACUGCGCUAGUUACCAUUGGUUCUUUCUUCACUCAUCUCACUUAUCUGCUUUUGUUGAAUUGCUUGCAGAGAUGAAACUGCCGGCACAGAAAUUGGCUCCGGCUUUGCCUUGGUAGCAGCUUUACGGUAGCUUUGGCCAUGAAUUUCUGUCUGCAAGUAUCUCUUCCGUGGCUCAACUGAGGAGUCUCCAAAUCUAGGACUUUGACGCGAGACGAGCAUCUCGA